GCAGGCCUAACACAUGCAAGUCGAACGGUAACAGGAAGAAGCUUGCUUCUUUGCUGACGAGUGGCGGACGGGUGAGUAAUGUCUGGGAAACUGCCUGAUGGAGGGGGAUAACUACUGGAAACGGUAGCUAAUACCGCAUAACGUCGCAAGACCAAAGAGGGGGACCUUCGGGCCUCUUGCCAUCGGAUGUGCCCAGAUGGGAUUAGCUAGUAGGUGGGGUAACGGCUCACCUAGGCGACGAUCCCUAACUGGUCUGAGAGGAUGACCAGCCACACUGGAACUGAGACACGGUCCAGACUCCUACGGGAGGCAGCAGUGGGGAAUAUUGCACAAUGGGCGCAAGCCUGAUGCANCCNUGCCGCGUGUAUGAAGAAGGCCUUCNGGUUGUAAAGUACUUUCANCGGGGAGGAAGGGAGNAAAGUUAAUACCUUUGCUCAUUGACGUUACCCGCAGAANAANCACCGGNUAACUCCGUGCCAGCAGCCGCGGUAAUA
rnacentral:rRNA from 1 species